GUCCUAGCCGUAAACGAUGGACACUAGGUGUUGGUGGUAUCAACCCCGCCAGUGCCGAAGCUAACGCAUUAAGUGUCCCGCCUGGGGAGUACGGCCGCAAGGCUAAAAACUCAAAGGAAUUGACGGGGGCCCGCACAAGCAGCGGAGCGUGGGGUUUAAUUCGACGCGACGCGAAGAACCUUACCAGGACUUGACAUGGUCAGGACACCGGCGGAAACGUCGGCUCCCCGCAAGGGGCCUGAUCACAGGUGUUGCAUGGCUGUCGU
rnacentral:rRNA from 1 species